rnacentral:rRNA from 1 species
GCAUCUAGAUUAGAGUUUGAUCCUGGCUCAGGACGAACGCUGGCGGCGUGCCUAAUACYUGCAAGUCGAGCGCGGGAAGCAAGCAGAUCCCUUCGGGGUGACGCAUGUGGAACGAGCGGCGGACGGGUGAGUAACACGUGGGCAACCUGCCUUGCAGACUGGGAUAACCCCGGGAAACCGGGGCUAAUACCGGAUGACCAAUCAAAUCGCAUGAUUUGAAUGUAAAAGUAGGGACUUGUUCCUUACACUGCAAGAUGGGCCCGCGGCGCAUUAGCUAGUUGGUGAGGUAAGAGCUUACCAAGGCAACGAUGCGUAGCCGACCUGAGAGGGUGAUCGGCCACACUGGGACUGAGACACGGCCCAGACUCCUACGGGAGGCAGCAGUAGGGAAUCAUCCGCAAUGGGCGAAAGCCUGACGGUGCAACGCCGCGUGAGUGAAGAAGGUUUUCGGAUCGUAAAGCUCUGUUAUCUGGGAAGAACAAGUACCGGUCGAAUAGGCCGGUACCUUGACGGUACCCGAUCAGAAAGCCCCGGCUAACUACGUGCCAGCAGCCGCGGUAAUACGUAGGGGGCAAGCGUUGUCCGGAAUUAUUGGGCGUAAAGGGCGCGCAGGCGGUUUCCUAAGUCUGAUGUGAAAGCCCACGGCUCAACCGUGGAGGGUCAUUGGAAACUGGGGAACUUGAGUACAGGAGAGGAGAGCGGAAUUCCACGUGUAGCGGUGAAAUGCGUAGAGAUGUGGAGGAACACCAGUGGCGAAGGCGGCUCUCUGGCCUGUAACUGACGCUGAGGCGCGAAAGCGUGGGGAGCGAACAGGAUUAGAUACCCUGGUAGUCCACGCCGUAAACGUUGAGUGCUAGGUGUUAGGGGUUUCGACGCCCUUAGUGCCGCAGCAAACGCAUUAAGCACUCCGCCUGGGGAGUACGACCGCAAGGUUGAAACUCAAAGGAAUUGACGGGGGCCCGCACAAGCGGUGGAGCAUGUGGUUUAAUUCGACGCAACGCGAAGAACCUUACCAGGUCUUGACAUCUUCUGCUGA